UUCACUAUAGAAUCAUAUUGCAAAUGCACGUGCAUUGUUGUGCAACUGGUAACCCAAAAAUUAAAAUAUGGUUGUAAAUGCAUUUACCGGGACGCCUAUUGUCCAUGCCCGCUAUGGGAGUACCCUACUAUGGCCCUCUAUCUAUGGAGUCCGUCCUGAGUGCUUUAUGGACUGUUUAAAAUAUUCUGAUGGAUACGCAUGUUGUGCAACUGGUGAUUGAAAAUAGGCACCUGGUAACCCCCCAAAAAAUAUGCUUGUAAAUGCAUUUACCGGUCAUUCUGAUAUUAAUGCUCGCUAUGGGAACACAGGAUGGCCGGGCAGUGAUAGUUGUACAUUUCCAUCACUCGUUGUGUUGAUUUCAUCAUGUCCAUUAGGUGAUGUUUUUACACUAUAGAAUCAUAUUGCAAGUGCACGCGCAUUUGCAAUAUGUUUCAAUGUGCAUUUACCAUAUGAAAUUUGACAUGCUCAAAAAUGCAAAAUUGACUGGUCUGAUGGACACAGGAUGGCCGAGCAGUGAUAGUUGUACAUUUCCAUCACUCGUUGUGUUGAUUUCAUCAUGUCCAUUAGUUGAUGUUUUUUCACUAUAGAAUCAUAUUGCAAGUGCACGCGCAUUUGCAAUAUGUUUCAAUGUGCAUUUACCAUAUGAAAUUUGACAUGCUCACAAAUGCAAAAUUGACUGGUCUGAUGGACACAGGAUGGCCGAGCAGUGAUAGUUGUACAUUUCCAUCACUCGUUGUGUUGAUUUCAUCAUGUCCAUUAGGUGAUGUUUUUUUCACUAUAGAAUCAUAUUGCAAAUGCACGUGCAUUGUUGUGCAACUGGUAACCCAAAAAUAAAAAUAUGGUUGUAAAUGCAUUUACCGGUCAUUCUGAUAUUAAUGCUCGCUAUGGGAACACAGGAUGGCCGGGCAGUGAUAGUUGUACAUUUCCAUCACUCGUUGUGUUGAUUUCAUCAUGUCCAUUAGGUGAUGUUUUUACACUAUAGAAUCAUAUUGCAAGUGCGCGCGCAUUUGCAAUAUGUUUCAAUGUGCAUUUACCAUAUGAAAUUUGACAUGCUCAAAAAUGCAAAAUUGACUGGUCUGAUGGACACAGGAUGGCCGAGCAGUGAUAGUUGUACAUUUCCAUCACUCGUUGUGUUGAUUUCAUCAUGUCCAUUAGGUGAUGUUUUUACACUAUAGAAUCAUAUUGCAAGUGCGCGCGCAUUUGCAAUAUGUUUCAAUGUGCAUUUACCAUAUGAAAUUUGACAUGCUCAAAAAUGCAAAAUUGACUGGUCUGAUGGACACAGGAUGGCCGAGCAGUGAUAGUUGUACAUUUCCAUCACUCGUUGUGUUGAUUUCAUCAUGUCCAUUAGGUGAUGUUUUUACACUAUAGAAUCAUAUUGCAAGUGCGCGCGCAUUUGCAAUAUGUUUCAAUGUGCAUUUACCAUAUGAAAUUUGACAUGCUCAAAAAUGCAAAAUUGACUGGUCUGAUGGACACAGGAUGGCCGAGCAGUGAUAGUUGUACAUUUCCAUCACUCGUUGUGUUGAUUUCAUCAUGUCCAUUAGUUGAUGUUUUUUCACUAUAGAAUCAUAUUGCAAGUGCACGCGCAUUUGCAAUAUGUUUCAAUGUGCAUUUACCAUAUGAAAUUUGACAUGCUCAAAAAUGCAAAAUUGACUGGUCUGAUGGACACAGGAUGGCCGAGCAGUGAUAGUUGUACAUUUCCAUCACUCGUUGUGUUGAUUUCAUCAUGUCCAUUAGGUGAUGUUUUUCACUAUAGAAUCAUAUUGCAAAUGCACGUGCAUUGUUGUGCAACUGGUAACCCAAAAAUAAAAAUAUGGUUGUAAAUGCAUUUACCGGUCAUUCUGAUAUUAAUGCUCGCUAUGGGAACACAGGAUGGCCGGGCAGUGAUAGUUGUACAUUUCCAUCACUCGUUGUGUUGAUUUCAUCAUGUCCAUUUGUUUAUGUUUUCUCACUUUUGCAAAGUCACUGUGCAUUUGCAAUGUGGUUCAAUGGGCAGGUACCAUCACGAAUUUGUCAUGCUAUAAAAAUCCUGCAGGAAUGUGAAAUUGACUGGCCCGAUGAACUCGGGAUAGCUGGGCAGUGAUUCUGGUUCAUCUCCAUGGCUCGUUAGGGUUGAUUUCAGAAUGUCACUUUUGGUGAUGGUCCCUCUCCGUUUAAACAUAUUGCUAAUGUACAAAAGUCAACUAGCAAGUCAGUGUCCACCAGUCAAUUAGAUGUCAUUCUGACACCAAACUGAUACCAAUUGACACCAAACCCACUUUUUCCAACUCAUUUAGAAGCCAACUAUCACAUAUGUCAGAGCAGGCCCAUAAUUCACAGCGCCAUUAGUUUAAAACAUAAUAAAAACGUAAAACACAUAGUUACGUUCUAGCUGCGGGUCCAGGUCAGACAUUAUGUGAAGGCCUAUGUGAGGCGACCCCGAAUCCCGAGUUUCGGCUCGAUAGGUCCUUCGGUGCCCGAGUAAAACCCUAAUUGGUGCUGAAAAUCCAUUUUUUUCAAUGCCUUGCUAUGGGGUCCUUGAAUGAGCUAUCGGACCGAAACGUUGUGGUCCGUCUCUAUGGCCCGAGCCGGUUUCAAUGCACCUAGUCUUGUG